rnacentral:rRNA from 1 species
AAUGAUACCCGGGUAGUCCACGCCGUAAACGAUGUCGACUUGGAGGUUGUGCCCUUGAGGCGUGGCUUCCGGAGCUAACGCGUUAAGUCGACCGCCUGGGGAGUACGGCCGCAAGGUUAAAACUCAAAUGAAUUGACGGGGGGCCCGCACAAGCGGUGGAGCAUGUGGUUUAAUUCGAUGCAACGCGAAGAACCUUACCUACUCUUGACAUCCAGAGAACUUGGCAGAGAUGCUUUGGUGCCUUCGGGAACUCUGAGACAGGUGCUGCAUGGCUGUCGUCAGCUCGUGUUGUGAAAUGUUGGGUUAAGUCCCGCAACGAGCGCAACCCUUAUCCUUUGUUGCCAGCGGUUAGGCCGGGAACUCAAAGGAGACUGCCAGUGAUAAACUGGAGGAAGGUGGGGAUGACGUCAAGUCAUCAUGGCCCUUACGAGUAGGGCUACACACGUGCUACAAUGGCGCAUACAAAAGAGAAGCGACCUCGCGAGAGCAAGCGGACCUCAUAAAGUGCGUCGUAGUCCGGA